ACGUAGGAGACGAACGUUAUCCGGAGUUACUGGGCGUAAAGGGCGUGUAGGCGGUAUGUUAAGUCUGGCGUGAAAGCUCUCGGCUAAACCGGGAGAGGUCGUUGGAUACUGGCACACUAGAGGAUGGUAGAGGCGUGUGGAAUUCCGGGUGUAGUGGUGAAAUGCGUAGAGAUCCGGAGGAACACCAGUGGCGAAGGCGACACGCUGGGCCAUACCUGACGCUAAAGCGCGACAGCAUGGGGAGCAAACGGGAUUAGAAACCCCGGUAGUCCAUGCCGUAAACGAUGCCAGCUAGAUGUUCAGUUCUCGCAAGAGAACGGGGUAUCGAAGCAAACGCGAUAAGCUGGCCGCCUGGGGAGUACGGUCGCAAGGCUA
rnacentral:rRNA from 1 species